rnacentral:rRNA from 1 species
UGGGGAAUUUUGGACAAUGGGCGAAAGCCUGAUCCAGCAAUGCCGCGUGUGUGAAGAAGGCCUUCGGGUUGUAAAGCACUUUUGUCCGGAAAGAAAUCCUUGGCUCUAAUACAGUCGGGGGGAUGACGGUACCGGAAGAAUAAGCACCGGCUAACUACGUGCCAGCAGCCGCGGUAAUACGUAGGGUGCAAGCGUUAAUCGGAAUUACUGGGCGUAAAGCGUGCGCAGGCGGUUUGCUAAGACCGAUGUGAAAUCCCCGGGCUCAACCUGGGAACUGCAUUGGUGACUGGCAGGCUAGAGUAUGGCAGAGGGGGGUAGAAUUCCACGUGUAGCAGUGAAAUGCGUAGAGAUGUGGAGGAAUACCGAUGGCGAAGGCAGCCCCCUGGGCCAAUACUGACGCUCAUGCACGAAAGCGUGGGGAGCAAAACAGGAUUAGAUACCCUGGUAGUCCACGCCCUAAAACGAUGUCAACUAGUUGUUGGGGAUUCAUUUCCUUAGUAACGUAGCUAACGCGUGAAGUUGACCGCCUGGGGAGUACGGUCGCAAGAUUAAAACUCAAAUGAAUUGACGGGGUCAUAGCUGUUUCCU